AAACGGUAAUAUUUUUCCGGCGGACGAUUUUCCCGAGUAUUUAAAUGCGAUUCCGUAAAAAUAAACCGGUGUCAUUCCGGGAAACAAAAAGCUCCGCGGUUAAGUUUCAAAAAAAAAUGUUUUUUUCCACAAAUUGUACGGCAAAAAUUAAUUUAUUGUUUAGCAUACAUACUCACCGAGUACUCUGUAUACAGGGGCUUCAUGUGAGAUAUGGCGGGGUAUGCUUAUGCACACC